GAUGGACGCUGGCGGCGUGCCUAAUACAUGCAAGUCGAGCGAACAGAUAAGGAGCUUGCUCCUUUGACGUUAACGGCGGACGGGUGAGUAACACGUGGGUAACCUACCUAUAAGACUGGGAUAACUUCGGGAAACCGGAGCUAAUACCGGAUAACAUUUGGAACCGCAUGGUUCUAAAGUGAAAGAUGGUUUUGCUAUCACUUAUAGAUGGACCCGCGCCGUAUUAGCUAGUUGGUAAGGUAACGGCUUACCAAGGCGACGAUACGUAGCCGACCUGGGAGGGUGAUCGGCCACACUGGAACUGAGACCCGGUCCGGACUCCUACGGGAGGCAGCAGUAGGGAAUCUUCCGCAAUGGGCGAAAGCCUGCCGGAGCAACGCCGCGUGAGUGAUGAAGGGUUUCGGCUCGUAAAACUCUGCUAUUAGGGAAGAACAAAUGUGUAAGUAACUGUGCACGUCUUGACGGUACCUAAUCAGAAAGCCACGGCUAACUACGUG
rnacentral:rRNA from 1 species